CCCCCGCCUGUGGGGGCGGCGGGAGCGGGCCCGGGCGGGAAUCGCGGGCUUGGAGCAGGGACUGGGAGGGAGCGCUUCGCCGCGGGGGCCCGGAGACACAGGAACGCGUUUCCCAGAGAAACUAUUCGCAGCCUAUUCUGAGUUGGAAGGGACCCACAAGGAUCAUCGACUCCAGCUCUUAAGUAAAUGUCCCAUAUGGGGAUGCACCCACCACCUUGGUGUUACCAGCUUCAUGUUCUAACCAACUGUAACUCCGGAAAAUUAACAAAUCUAACUACACUUAUCGGUGCGUUCUGUCGAUGAAACCACACAUCACCACGAAGACAUCGCAACAUCCCUGCUGUAUGCUGCUCUGCUUGAGCAUUUUGAAGCCAUAUUUCCUGGUCUGGUGGAAAUAUUUCUAGUGGAGAUAUUUAAGUGCAAGCUCUGCCAUUUCACAAGCAGGAUCAAAAGUAAGAUCAGGAGACACCUGGCUCAAACCUGUGAAACUAAUAUGGCAUGUCAAAUUUCAGGCUGCCCUAAAAUGGACCAAGGUAAAAAUUAGUUAUAUAGCAUUGGAGAUGAAAAGAAUGAGAACAAAGAAAAUCUUGCAAAAAAUUACUCUCUUGUUACCUGUGUAUCAGAUACCUUAAAAUAAAAGUCCUUGCUCUUGUCACAUGAGCUCAAGCAUAAUCCUCAUGCAUCUCACUCCUGUGAAAUGAACACCUGGUUUGGAGAAGUAGCAGCUUAUUUUCAACUUGAGGAACCUUGCAGUGCUGACUUCUCUUUCCUUGGAAGAGAAGGGACAGAUAAACCCAGUCUAUGCCUCUCAACAUCUGUCAUAUUUCCAGUAUUAGAACCCAGACAUUUGCUGGGGAAAUUAAAAGCCCCUAAGGCUCAAUCAAGGCGUAAACAUCAUAGAAAAAUCAGUUGAAAACUGGAUCUAAAGGCUCAACUCACCUUAUAGAAGAUGCUUAUGCUUCAGAAGCUGGGUUCUGAGAAAAAGCAUCAUUUCUUCAUGUGUGGAAUGUAGCACUAGAGCCACAAGAUGCUGAGGAAACCCAUAUAACAAAUCAUGUGGAUCAUGGCUUUAAAUGUGCUUAUUGUCACAUAACUGAGUAGAUCUUAAUGGAAAAUGAUUGAAAAUCACACAUGUGGCCUACCAGUGCUCCAUCUGUGAAAGUGCUUUUAUAUCACUUUAUAAAGUGCCUGGAAAGUGCACAGAAACAGCCAUGAGAGGAAAUGUCAUCUCAGUGCGCAUCAUCUGAAACUGAGCCGAUAAGCAGUCUUCAUAUAGCCUGCUUGGCAUUUGCAGGAUAUGGUUAUGUGCCCACACAGUGAUUUACCAGUUGAACUACUGCUUUGGUUCUGAUUGCUCAGUAUGGCCAAAUGAAAGAAGAGGUGAUUGUGAAAUAAGGUGAUGUCUCAUGGGUGUGCCCUGGAGUUCGUGGCAGUGGUCAGAUUAACAUAUUUGCUCUGGUUUUAAGCUACUGUAACAAACCAUGGCUUUUAAUACAACUAAGGAAUGGAUCAAGGUCUGCAAGCAUCUGUGCAAGCACAGACCCUUCAGAGUUACUGGCUUCAGCUCCUUCAUAACAUCCUUACAUGUGUUAGUGGUGUUUUGACCGAACCAUGCUGGUGCACACCGAAUUGGAGAGUCAGGUUAAAAAAAAACCCAAAGAACACAUGAACAAACAAAAUCCAACUCAAAUAAAUGACUUUUCUUGAGAAGCUUUAUUUUGUGUGUUUCACAAACAUAGCAGAGAAUGUGGAGCAAGGUUUAUUUUCUCUACAACAUUGUCUUUCAUCACCUGAAAGUUUCAUAUCUCAGGUUUUUAAGUCUUUCCAUCACUGAUGGUAUAAUAAAGUAUUGGUAUAAUGUAUUUUGGGUUUCUUUUUGAAUUAGUUUACUUCACUUAUUUCUUAAAUGGCAAUCCAAAGAAGAAUUCAAGGAGCAUAUGGUAAAUUACAGAACUGCUACCACUCCUUUUUAUUCAUUUUGGGAUCAGGUAUUCAAAAUCAGACAUCAAUUGAGUGGACGUCACAAAUCCAUCACAAAUCCACAAAUGAAAGAGAUUAAGAGAAGAACAAAGCCUGAAGAUAAUCCUGUGUGUUUCAACACAAAAAGAACUUGAAAGAAGGAGUCAAGCUAAUUUAAAUGCAGUAUGUACAGUAGGUAUGAUCUGUAUUAUAGCAAAACUUGCUGUUUUGUUUCUUAAUUGCAGAAUAUUUGGUAAUCUAGCAUAUCUAUUUAUUUGCUUAUUUAUUUGCAUAUUUUUGCAAUAAAGUUACUCUUAGUAUGAACAAAAAUAAAAAUAGCUGCCACCUACUUGGUUUGUGAUAGUACCAGUCUUUGGAAUAAAUUAAGUAUAUGCUAAUCAAAAGGUGCAGCUAAGGUUUUCUGCUGUAGUUUGUUACAGGCAAUAACCAAGUACAGCUACUGAAAUAGGCUCUUUCAGGAGCCAAGAGAAAUGCUGUGAUACUUCUCGUAAUUCUGCAAGUUAACUAGGUGACAAAACAGCUUCCUUUGGGUCAUGGCUGCACUUUUAAGAGGAAUAUUAACUGAAGCACCAAUUUUAUCAGUUAGUGGAAAAUUCUACUUAUCUGCACUUAUAAGAGUUAACACCAAGACUCUGUCUUACCUCAAGUGCAUCCUUUCUUCCAAAGAGAUUUUGAGAAGGCAUUUGAUAUGUUCCUGUUAUUCAGAAAAGAUCUCUUUUUCCUUGAUAAAGAAGAUAAUAAUCUCUAGCAGCCCUCUGUCCAUGAGUUGACAUUACAAAAUAUUCUGUUAGCUUUUCUAAUAUUUAGGUAGAUAAGCUUGAGUACAUAUCUUUCUCUAAGUUUCUUCUAAGUAUGUACAUUUGGCUUGGGAUGUUUUCUCCUUUAGUUGUUGUUUAUGGCCAUACAUGCCUGCUACAUUGUCAGAAAACAUUUUUACAAUAGUUUAACUAGAGAGGUCACUUUCUUACUUUCACAGUUGUGUUAUCAUAAAUUAAUUCAAACCAUCAAAGCUUUUUCCCCAAAGGCUUCUUUAUCCCACUGUUUUCUAGGACUUAAAUAAUUGUCUCUACUGAAUCUGGCUUUCCUCAUUUGAAGUUGUUACUGCUCACAUGGAAAGAAAUAAAUAUAUGUUUUAGUAGCUAUCUGAAAUUGGUAUAAUAAAAAGAAAACAAAAAUGGAGUUUGGGUUCAGCUAGUCAAAGGCCUAAUUGCUUGAAGUGAGCUAGAGCAUUUUUGUUAGUAAGUAGGGAGCAGACCAAUGUACUGAUGAUGUGCCUUGCACAUAGGCAUCUAUCUUCUGGGCUUUUUUAAAAGCAAGUAGUCAGUUAACAAAACUUACCUGUGUUUUAAGUGGCAGAAGUAUAAUGUUAGGCACUUUAAAUUGUUACAUCAUUACAACAGUUAAUUGUGGAGUUACAAUGGAGUAUAACAAUCCAAAUUUUAUCUGAGAUUAUGUUUGAAAUGUGACAUCUGCUGUAUGCACUACAACUCUGUUUUGAAGGAAAAAUGAGCUUUUAUGGACUGGGUCUCUGGAGCUCUCCCUGGAAGAGAGAGAUUAAGAGCUUGAACUUUUCAUACCUACUUCUGACUCAAAUUUUGCUUGACUUUUGUACAGCAAAACAAACUUAAUGUCAACACAGUUCAUUUACUACAGUCCCCCUGAGGUGCAAACUCAUAAACUGGCAUUGGCCAUCGUCCCAGCUUACAACUGUCCCCUAAUUCUUUCCACUAAAGGCCCUGUCCCAACAGCAGAACAGGAUCUGUUGGGAAUCACAGCCAGCUCAGUGGUGUGUCCUGCUGCACAGAUGGAAUAGCUGAUGGCAGAAGGGUGUAAGGAUAACCCUGCUGUGCUGACUGUGACUGAGAGCAUGGGCUGUGCCCUGCACAGAGCUCCAGAGUGCCAGAACAAGCUGCCCCAUUUUCUCUUUGUCCCACAAUUGCCUCUCGUUAUGCCCAGAUUAACAGAUGCACAUGGGAAGUAUAUUUUAGAGCCUGUGGAUACUGCAAAACUUCAAGGAAUUCCUUUAAACUGAGAAAUAUCUGCUGUCAGGAGGUUACCAGCAAAGUGUUGGUAGCAGGACCUGGAAAUCCAGCUGUGUUCCUGGCCGUGCUGUGGCACAUUUGUUUGCUUUCCUCCAGGAGAGGGCAGCAGAUGAACAACAUCAGGGGCUGGUUUUCACUUUUCAAACCCUCUUCCAGUGACCCCCUCUGCCUGUGAAUCCAGCAGGAGCUCCAUACCAAUGGGAGAAUUUAAAAUUAUAAUUCCUGCCUGUUUGUUACAAAGAUAGCUGGAAUGUACGAAUCGGAAGUCUUCAUUCUGUUCAGUAUUAAGCAGUAAAAUUUAUUCAGUAAAAUCUAUCUCAAGGUUUUAGAAAGGACAGUUCAAUAUUGAUACUUAAGAUUUUGUGACUAUGGCAGUAGGUGUGUAUAUAUUUUAAAGGAUAAAAUAACCAAGCAACCCAACCCAUUAUUAAUGUCACCUAAGUCUUACUUAACAUCUUUCAUUUUCCAUCAGGUUGCAUAUUACAAUUCAAAAUAAUAGCCUUUUUUCUCCCAUCAGAAAAUAAAACUAAGAAUACACUAAA